AUUGAACGCUGGCGGCAUGCUUUACACAUGCAAGUCGAACGGUAACAGGCCGCAAGGUGCUGACGAGUGGCGAACGGGUGAGUAAUGCAUCGGAACGUGCCCAGUCGUGGGGGAUAACGCAGCGAAAGCUGCGCUAAUACCGCAUACGAUCUAUGGAUGAAAGCGGGGGACCGUAAGGCCUCGCGCGAUUGGAGCGGCCGAUGUCAGAUUAGGUAGUUGGUGGGGUAAAGGCCCACCAAGCCAACGAUCUGUAGCUGGUCUGAGAGGACGACCAGCCACACUGGGACUGAGACACGGCCCAGACUCCUACGGGAGGCAGCAGUGGGAAUUUUGGACAAUGGGCGCAAGCCUGAUCCAGCAAUGCCGCGUGCAGGAAGAAGGCCUUCGGGUUGUAAACUGCUUUUGUACGGAACGAAACGGUUCUCUCUAAUACAGGGGGCUAAUGACGGUACCGUAAGAAUAAGCACCGGCUAACUACGUGCCAGCCGCCGCGGUAACAC
rnacentral:rRNA from 1 species